GGCCACAGAGCUAUUUGAUUGCUUAAGCCGAGUGGUCAGACAAUAGGACCAGAAAGAAUGGCCGCUUCCUUCCUUCCUGUUGAGUGUUCUGCCUGAGUGAGCAAAUUCAAUAGCACUUUGCUUCACAGCAGCACUAGGCUCUAGCACGAGGAAAAUCAACAAAGAGCCAUUCUAGGGCAUUUCCAACCCCACCUAAGCCAAGCCUCUGAGCUAUAGAACCAUGGGGGAGGGGGUGUCC
rnacentral:lncRNA from 1 species